rnacentral:rRNA from 1 species
GACGUAACGCUGGCGGCGUGCUUAAUACAUGCAAGUCGACUGAACUUAAGGUAGCAAUAUUUUAAGGGAGGUGGCGCACGGUGAGUAACACGUAGGUAAUCUGCCUUUAGGUCUGACACAACCUACCGAAAGGUAGGCUAAUAUCAGAUGAUGCAGCGGCUCGACAUCGAGACAGUUGUUAAACCUUCGGGGCCUAAAGAUGAGCCUGCGUCUGAUUAGGUAGUUGGCGGAGUAAUAGCCCACCAAGCCUGCGAUCAGUAGCUGGUCUGAGAGGAUGAUCAGCCACACUGGAACUGAGACACGGUCCAGACUCCUACGGGA